rnacentral:rRNA from 1 species
UACGUAGGGGGCUAGCGUUGUCCGGAAUUAUUGGGCGUAAAGAGCUCGUAGGCGGUGUGUCACGUCGGCCGUGAAAACCUGCAGCUUAACUGUGGGCGUGCGGUCGAUACGGGCAUCACUGGAGUUCGGCAGGGGAGACUGGAAUUCCUGGUGUAGCGGUGAAAUGCGCAGAUAUCAGGAGGAACACCGGUGGCGAAGGCGGGUCUCUGGGCCGAUACUGACGCUGAGGAGCGAAAGCGUGGGGAGCGAACAGG